GUUUCUUCAAAUUCCGACUCAACGAAAAUGCUUGAACAAUGUUAUUCGUUGGAAUAUCAUAGAGAUCGCAAACUCCUGCCAUUGUCGAAAAUAACACGAUUCCAAGAAAGAAAAGUCUGAGGAAAAAAUAUUGAGAAUAAUUUUUUUUGGUCAACUCUGAAAUAAUUUCGAGGCAAGGAGAAAUCGUCGAGAGAAGGAGAUGAUCUGAAGCAAUGGGCCUUUUUUGUUGGCAAAUAAAUAUUCUUCAAACAUUGACGGAAAUUUUGUUUACGUAAAAAUACACAACACAAUUUGUUUUGCGAAAGAUUAUCCUGAAUUAUUUCCGUGUGAUUUCUCAGACUGCCAACGAGUUCAACAAAUGUGAAAUUUUCCGAGAAUGCCUGUGAUUUAUUUUGUCCGAGGAUACGGAGGAUCUCUUCGUCUUCAAGUGAUGAUGGCAAACCGGCGGACGUCAGUAUAUCAACAGUUUUUCCUUCAGUCAAAACAAUGAUAGUGAUGAUGAGAACGUUCCACGUGAAUAUAUUGACGAGCGAUAAAUGAAUUGCUGACGGUGAGUCAAGUCAUUCAAGUUUUGGAAAAAAUUUUGCUGCAACUCCUUCUUGACGAAGUUCACGGGUGUCUAUUUGAAAGCACGUUUAACGAGCGACAAAACAGAAUGCCUCGAAAACCCACUCACGGCACCUGUCUUCACAUCACAGUUGAUGAUUCGGAAGGGGAAAUCCGCAAUACCCUCUCCAUAAUCUCGAUUAAAAAUUUAAUAAUUUAUUACAUUAACAUCACAUUUUAAAAUGAAGAAUUCUUUCGAAUUCGAAAAAAAAAUUCAUCACGAUUUUCGGAUUUAUUACAAGGAUUCAAGGAAGAAGACUUUGGAUUGUUCAAAUUUGGAAGAAGGACAUGGUUCCGGAAUUGUAAACUUGAAGAAUGAUUUACGGUUUUUUAAAAAGGGGAAAAAUCGUCUUUCAAAGUCGAUGGUGAAGAAGAAGAGGAAUAAAAAUCUCAAGAGAAGAAGAAGAGGAUCCUCUUAGCAGACUUUCUUUUGUGUUCAUCUUUAAAAACCAACCCGAACUAAAAAGAAGAACCCAUACUUAUUUUUUUUCAAAAAAGAGUAUUGGAAAUUCCACCCGAUGAAAUCGUUAUUUUUUUUUAAAUUGGUUCUUUUUUUAAAUUUUUUUCCUAAAAGAAAAUAAAUUUCUGUAAUUUUUUCUUUCUUUUUUCUCCUCGUGUGAGACGUGUGUUCCUGCACGUUUCGCGUUCUUUUGAUUGUAGUGCGUCGUCCUUCGCGAUCGUUCGAUUCGUGACUUUUUUACGCACGUUGACCGGCUCAUUCUAUCGAGAUUCCAUGAGUUUCGUUUUAUAUCGUUGUUGUGUGUCGAUAAACUGUCACUCUACUUCUUCCCACAAAGGAACACCGCGUCGAUAGCUAUCAAUAUAAUUAGUUUAAUAAUCAAGGCGUCGUAUUGUCUACUAUCGUCAUAAGUUAUUUGUUAUACAUUGUAUUGACUUUAAUUAAUUUUUUAUUAUUUUCUUCAUCCGGUUGUAAAAUUUCAAAUCAAUUUCGAGAAAGGAAAACAAAUUAUUAACCAGAAAAUAUUACUUUUUCAAUAUUUAUUUAUAUUGAAUAUAAUCCUAAUAUAACUUAGGGAAAAAUAUUAUGAAAUGUCUGCAAAAAAAUUCCCCUCCUUCCAAGUAUUUAAUUUGUACAAAAGUACAAAAAAGCUU